GCAGACCCCCCGUGUGGCGCUCACCCUGCGAACCUCCCCAGGGCCGGAAGGCAGCAAGGAUAAGCAGGCUCUGGCGGGUGCGCGGGGGGUCCUCGCGU
rnacentral:SRP_RNA from 1 species